rnacentral:rRNA from 1 species
UUUUAUGGAGAGUUUGAUCCUGGCUCAGGAUGAACGCUGGCGGCGUGCCUAAUACAUGCAAGUCGAGCGAACGGACGAGAAGCUUGCUUCUCUGAUGUUAGCGGCGGACGGGUGAGUAACACGUGGAUAACCUACCUAUAAGACUGGGAUAACUUCGGGAAACCGGAGCUAAUACCGGAUGAUAUUUUUAACCGCAUGGUU